rnacentral:rRNA from 1 species
UAAGACGAACCGUGCAAACGUUGUUCGGAUUCACUGGGCUUAAAGGGCGCGUAGGCGGGUGGUCAAGUCAGGGGUGAAAUCUUUCAGCUCAACUGGAAAACAGCUUCUGAUACUGGCCAUCUUGAGGGAGGUAGGGGCAUGUGGAACUUCCGGUGGAGCGGUGAAAUGCGUAGAUAUCGGAAGGAACGCCGGUGGCGAAAGCGACGUGCUGGACCUUUUCUGACGCUGAGGCGCGAAAGCCAGGGGAGCAAACGGGAUUAGAUACCCCGGUAGUCCUGGCCCUAAACGAUGGGUACUAGAUUGUAGACUGAACAUGGGUUUACAGUCGAAGCAAAAGUGUUAAGUACCCCGCCUGGGGAGUAUGGUCGCAAGGCUG